UAUAACUGCAACCGUAUCUAAUUUUCUGCUCGUCAUCUGCUGACGUUUGAUUUCUUCUUACUUCGCCUCGCUGCUAUCGCUGACAUUUCUCGGCUGUCACGUCAUCUCCACUCCGUCGGGAGCAAAGUAUUCGGAACGGCAGGUCAGCGAUCAAUGAGGGUAACAGUCAGGUGCGGCGGAACACGUAAAGUGUUCGCAACAAUGGCACUCCCCGCAUAACCAAAUACUGUUUGUGUUAAUCUCCACACAGUAUGUCUCCUUUAUCAGUUACUGUUAUACUUAUGACACACAUGUGAUACAAGUAUCACUGUACAAUUGCCCUUGAAAUGAGUUCCACACAGAUAAUUCUCUCUGUUCAAGAUAGUCUUGUUAGAAUUUUCUUGACACUGUGUACCGUUGUACAGGAAUCACAUGUCUGUCUGGGGUAUUACUGUACCACGUACAGGUGUUUCUCUGUUGAAAAUAUGGAUCUCGAAGCUUCCGAUCAUAAAGAACGGUCUGUGAAGACCAUACCAAGUUGUAACAAUUUGUCAUAUUGUGCUGAAAUUAUUGAGCAAUAUAGCUCGCAAUAUAGUGCCGAAAACUCAAGUGGCAUGGUGGCAAUGCAGAAUGACCUUUUCUCAAACGGUUUGCGAGUUUUUUUUGCAACACACUUACACAUGUGCAUUUCACUGUACUCCACUUAAAUUCAACAGUUUCUCAAAUAGUAGCUUUCAUUAGUAUCUGUACCGAUCGCACUUUGCAGUUUGCAUUUAGAAGAAAAAAGCAAAAAAAUUUCGCCCGCGAGCUGAGUGAACAACAAAAUAAAAACUUGACUCGGAAAAUGAUUUGAAGCUCUUGGAGUGGUCUGGAUGGAAAAAGGUAUGUUUUGCAUGACAUAAAUUAUUCUUGUGUUAUAUCUCAUCGGAUUAUAAUUGUUUUGCAGGAUGCCGGAACCUGAUCCGGCCUGACUGCGUGAAGUGUCCCGCAAAAAAGAUUCGCCCUGCUGGGGGCGGAAUCCGUGAUUAAAAAUCCGCUCUUACCACAGAAAUCUUCAGUAAAUCAGUUAUUCGCCGUAGGUAUUAUCGAGCCCAGCAUGGGACGUUGAAUUUGCUUAAUAAAAAAAUCCAAUGAACGCAUAAACGCUUUUAUUUUUAAACAGUUUAAAUAUAACCGAGCCAUAUAUUAUAAACUUAAAAUACAAUGCAAGACCAUAAAUGAAUAGUAACCCAUACAGUGUUCGUUUUUCUUCUAGAUUUAUUGUUAAACUGAUAUAUAACCAUUUGUUAUGCAGUGCAUUGUCUGAAAAACUGGAUAAUAUAUUGACCAUACCCUUUACUGUAUUGCGAAAAAUUUGUUCGAGAAAACGAGCGAUUAUUUAUGGUAACCUAUCUUAACCGCCUAUUCCACAUACUGUAAAUUGGCGGAUUACCGUUUGUCAAACUGGCAAAUCUGUACAUGGUAUGGUUCGCUUACUGUUAUCUCCGAUAGUCUGAGAAAUAGUUCAAUGACAAUAGGCUCCUAAAGGCCUGUCUCAAUUUCUGCAUAAUUCGAUCAAGGAUUGAUUAAAACGAUAUGUUUACUCAUUUUUUAAGUUUUCCUAUUAAGUAAAGUCCAUAAAACAUAUUUUCAAAAUUUUUAAUAACUUUUGCAACACUCCUUGUUUAGCACUCAAUUUUGGGUAAAUUUUGUUUACCGUGUAUGUCAAACAGGAAUAUUUGCUGUCAAAAGUGAGCCAAUGUAACCUUCACGUACCCGAUCCCCGAUAACUCAUUUUCAAAAUGCUGGCAUUUCGUGAAUUUUCCUCCGAUUUUUUUUUAAGUCUCCCUUGAUUGAUCAUAAAUGGACUACCAAGGGGCCAGACACGUACAAUUCGUGGUUUAGUAUAUUAUAGUAUACUGCAAUAGAUUAGUGCAUCGUAGCAAACUCUGCAGCCGAUUUUUUCGAUAAACAAUGUUUGAUUUUUGAUUCAUCUGUCACAGUCUUGAUUUCAGCCAGUACGAUGACUUUGAUGGUAAUACAUUAAUUUACAAUAGUAUACAUUCAUGUAUUAAUAUACUAAUAUACUUCUAAUACACUCAUUAUGCUAAUACAUGUCUAGCCCCUUGUGGACUACCUGCUUUGCGCGCAGCCACAGUUGAUCAGCAGGAGUAAAUCAAUUUAAUUUUGUAUGGCGAAAUGCAUCUAAACUUGAAUUACUUGAAAUACAAAGCUUUUCCCGAAAAAAUAUUUGGUAGGCUUAAUAGUGGUCACCAUUGUGCACAACCACUACCAAAUAUUUUUUCGAAUAAUGUGUUCCACUUUGAAGAAUUUGCCUUUAGAUGGUAUUCGCCAUACAAUAUUUUUGCGAUUUACUUUUAGCGAUUUUUCGCGCAUAGAAGCUAGCGCCACAUUGGUCGAUGCGGAGAGUAGGAAAACAGCCGAUGUGGUUAAUUCAUUGGUGCUUAUUCAUUACACUCAGGUGGCCAUGUAGUAUCCGGAACAAUUCCGGAUAUAUUCCGGAUUGUACUGGAGUCAGGGGGUGGGGAAGGGGUCUGUUUUGCAAAAUUACUAAAAGUGAUUAUUUCGUGUGUGUAAUUGUGUCUCAGAGGCCCCAGCAGAACCUGCUCCAGGUGUUACGGAGCGGUCAUAUCAAUUGAUACAUACUUAAGUCAUUUUUUUCUAUCCCAUUCUUUCGAAAUCAUGAGGAUUGAUACGUGGCUCCGCAUGUUUUGGUUGGAAAUCAGAAAUGUCCCCGAUGACACCCCCGUAGAACCUGUGCUAUAUGUUCCGAGGUGGCCAUAUUAGUUGAUACAUACCCAACUAACAAAAGUAGCUGCAUAAGAGCUUAUGGAACAAACGCAUAUGCAAAAGUGGUUAAUUAAGCACUUAUACAGCAAAAAUGUUAGUUGGGCACUUCAGUCUAUCGUUUUUGACUUAGUCAUUCGAAAUCAUGAAGAUUGAUAUGUCGCACGGCAUGCUUAGGUUGAAAAUCACAAGUGUCCUCAAUGAGGCCCCGCGGAACUUGUCACGGGGAUCCGAAUGGGCCAACUUAUUCAAAUCUGGUUAUUGCAGUUGUGUUUCACUGUUUGGCUGAAAAUCGAUGAUUCAAACAACAAUACACAAAAUAAUCACUUUUAGUCAUUUUGACAACCAACAUUCUAUCUAGCAAAACAUUUGAUCUACAACUAGAUGUCUUUAGCCGUAACAGGACACCAUUUGCAAAACACUGUUUUCACGCGAGCGUAACGCUGCGCUCCCAAAACUAAAUCAAGAAUAUUUCCAAAACUAUACAUUUCUCAGUAAAACCUACUUCGGCAAUCUUGUUCACAUCAAUCCGAAGAAGAAAUGUCUAAAAGACUCUAUUAUUCAAAACUUCAUAACAGAGCUGAUAUACGCAUUUCAAUUUGAAAAUUUCAAAAACAAGAUUUCUGCGAUGGUGUCCCGUUACGAAAUGUAACAUGUUACAUCAUGUAAAUUGGAACCAAAUCCUCAUAAAACAAGUAUUGCACCAGAAAGUACAUCUAAUAGGUUUGUUAUAAAACCUGUUAAACCAUAUGAUUAUGAACAUUAUAUUCGAUUGCAGACGUCAUUUGUUCACGAAAGUUAGUUCCUCGCGGUGUCCCGUUACGCUGGAAUGUGUCUAUUCUAUGUUAGUUUUGGGGAAACGUUGAACUUGCCGUUUGGUCGAGGUUAGAGAGAACCAGGGAGAACAAAGUUUUUUUUUUAAGGGGAUGGGAUUAUGGGGGCUAAUUCAUAGAACAUGUUAAAAAGGUUAUAGCUUUUAAAGAGUAUGCUGUCAUCACAAAACUUAAUAAAACAUCACUUUUUAUACUGAUCCACCAGAAUACCUGCCCUUUGUUUACGUAGUUUCCGCGGAGAGCUGAGAAGUGGGCUUUGUUCCAGUAGGAGCGUUACACCAAGAAGGAUAAUGAAAAUAUAUACACCCUAUACUAUCAUUUCAUCAUGGUUACAGAUUUUUGGUUAAAUAUUUGACCAAACCAAACUUAUUUAUCCACUUAUGAAUGUCUUAAAAAUUUUCGUAACGGGACACCAAAUCUACGCACUCAUUGUAACGCCUAAGAUAACGCGUCGAUCAAGGUAACCCAUAUGUUGGAAGAAAGGUCGCCACGAGUACUAAGAUAAUCCUGAAAAUCAUUUUUCUAAAGCUAGUAAUAAACUCGCUAUUACAACAAAUAUACUAUUUUCGUAACGGGACACCAUUAAAUUGCGGCUAUUGCAAAAAGUGCUUAAAACAUAUAAAAACCCAUUUUUAUGAAAAGUGUCCUUUGGGUGUAUAAAAUAUACGUUACUAUUGUAAAAGAACAACAGGGCAGUCAGGCCAUGGUGAGUUCCGUAUCACCCGUGCCUAUCCCUGCGGAUGACAAGAGAUCUGAUGGAUUGGAUCUCACAAAGAGGAACGGAGGUUGACGUUUUGGACGGGAGAUGCGAUAACAAAAGUGCAACGUAAUUGUACUGACGAAAAGCAAGUGAAGACUAAAUCUCGACAUUAUCCGUAUUUAUGAUCGAUUUGUGAAGUGGAUGAUUAGAAGGCAUUUGAACUUAAUUGUCAGUAAAUUGUCUAUCCUAAAUUUCUUAAUUAUAAUUAAUGGAAAAUUGAUUAAUUUGUAGAUCCUAAACCUAAAUAGUACGGAGUCCCCGAGCAGAGGGAAAAAGCUCAAUAAUAGCAUAUUUUGAUAUGGAGAACAAAAAGUGAUAUUUGUUUGUUUGAGAUAAGAGGUAAAAGUACUGAAAAUAAUAUCUCAAUUUUACUCCUUGAACAUCAUCAUCAUAGCACAUUUAGCUUUUGGUAAGAUCUAACCAAUAGCAGCGAGUUAUUUGAUUGAUCUUCAAAUAUCAUGUUUUGCUAUUGGUUAAAUGGUUCAAGAACAAAUUUUUGCUAUUAUUUUCAGUACUUUUACCUCUUAUCUCAAACAAACCAAUAUCACAUUUUGAUCGUCAGUACUUGAACUCUGCCCGGGCGAUAAUCACAUGCAUUUGUCGUUCAUUGAGUCAAAAUUUGUAAGUCAUGCUAAUUUGAAUUGGAUUCUAUUAUACUACUGUUAACUUAUCAACUAAAUAUGUUAAUCCUAGAUAAAAUUCGUGCGAAUUCAAGCAAAACCGAAUUAAGAAGUGUUUCGGAGUAAAAUAGGAAGGACACGAAAUGUAAGUCCAAAAUUGUGUACAUUUGAGCAUUACCUAACCUUCAACAAAUAUACUUACAGCUUGAAGCUGCAUUCGCUGCUGAAAAGACGUGGCCACUUAAUACCUAUCCGAAACAACUAUACUACAUUAAUAAAAAAAUAGUUGUAAUGUUUUCGAACUUUACCGUGCCAGCAGGCAUAUUAGAAAAUAGGAAGUAAGCAGCUGCGCCUAUGCUAAAGUGCCGGUAGUGGCGCUUUUCUGAUAAAUGCGGUAAACGUGAUAACAGUGUAAACAAGCAGAAAAGUUUGCGCUACGGAAUCAUAGACGGCGCUCGUGUUCCAUGUGUUUUUCACAUAUACAGCGGCGCCGCCUGGCACCUAUCCACUCAAAACAUCAUGCGCAACACGGGUGAAAAAUGCCAGUCAGAAAAAAAGAAGUAAACAACUUGAAAUUUGUACACUGAACGGCGGCUUGCGGUGAAAAUUACUAUUCUGAGGGUAAAUUUAAAUGCACAACGCCACUAAAUUUGUGCAGACUAAGUUUCGUUUUAUUUCAACAGAUUUAUGUUUUCAAUUUUACCAUGGACUCGAUUUUCAAUUAAAAAAAGUUUCUGUUGGCAACCGGAUUCAAACCAAGAACCUUGACAUCACCAGGCUCGCACGCUACCACUCAGCUAUCGAACCGGUUGAUGUGAGAAGAAACAAAACGCACACAAGAAGCAUUGGUGAGUCGAUGGUCAUGUUUUACCAUGGUAAAUUUAAAAACAUUUUUAUGCUCUUGUCAUUACUGCAAGGCUCCUUUCAGUGUAUGGUGAUGUAAUCAAUUCUGGAGCUCGAUUUGAAUAGGUCGUAUGUGCUUUCGUCGAUAUAAAAUUCGAUCAGUUUUUUUUAGCAAUAGUUGAAAUAUGGAUGAUAUUUCGGUGGCUUUUAAUGAUAAAAUUGAAAGCCUGUUUUGUAAGGAAUCGCUUUUAUGUAUUAAUAUUGAUAAAUUUCAACAGUUCCCGCCAUAAGAAGCGAACCCAACUGAUCGAAUUUUAUAUCGACGAAAGCCCAUACGACCUAUUCAAAUCGAGCUCCGGAAUUCUCUGUUACUGCAAUGAAUCCAGAAGAAACGCGUAGGGAUAAUGAUUUUGUUUCUAAUUUGCAACUUCUUGCCCCAAGCCACAAUUCGCUGCGAUGCGGAACAAGUGCAAGCCAGCGAUUUGUCCAUACAAGAAAAAUGAUUUUACUUUUAAUGUGGUGGCGCCAUCUCUGAGAAAAACAAGCUUUGAUUUCCUACUAAUAUCAAUGAAAACUUCAUUUUUCUUACAUAAAAUGCUAUUACUUCACCUAGAUAUUUAAAUACGUAACCAGUCAAAUUUUGAGUAAAACAAAUCUGGAGCUCGAUUUGAAUAGGUCGUAUGUGCUUUUGUCGAUAUAAAAUUCGAUCAGUUUAUUUUAGUUGUUGUAGCAAUAUGGAAGAUAUUUUUGAGACUUUUAAUGAUGGAAUGGAAAGCUUAUUUUGUGAGGAUUCUGCUGAAUGUAUCAACUUUGUUCAAUUUCAACGGUUUUCGAUACAAUAAGCGAAUCUAACUGAUCGAAUUUUUAAUCGACAAAAGCACAUACGACCUAUUCAAAUCGAGCUCCUGAAAUGGUUUCCUAUGAUUGAAUUUACCCUUUUUCAUAUGCUGGAAAGCUUGGGGCGAAACAAUCAUUUUGAUAAUUCACACCCUUGGCGAAGAGGUGCGUGGAAUGUGUCAAUAAAAGAAAAAUCCCCUUUAAAAUGUAAAAUUUAUUUCAACGAAUAUUGGCUCCCUUGUUCCAUCCAGACCACUCCAAGAGCUUCAAAUCAUUUUCCGAGACAAGUUUUUAUUUUGUUGUUCACUCAGCUCGCGGGCGAAAUUUUUUUGCUUUUUUCUUCUAAAUGCAAACUGCAAAGUGCGAUCGGUACAGAUACUAAUGAAAGCUACUAUUUGAGAAACUGUUGAAUUUAAGUUAAGUACAGUGAAAUGCACAUGUGUAAGUGUGUUGCAAAAAAAAACUCGCAAACCGUUUGGGAAAAGGUCAUUCUGCAUUGCCACCAUGCCACUUGAGUUUUCGGCACUAUAUUGCGAGCUAUAUUGCUCAAUAAUUUCAGCACAAUAUGACAAAUUGUUACAACUUGGUAUGGUCUUCACAGACCGUUCUUUAUGAUCGGAAGCUUCGAGAUCCAUAUUUUCAACAGAGAAACACCUGUACGUCCCGCAUAGAAAUUUACAAUUCACGAUAUCGUUAAAAUCAUAAGACAUUCAUUCGUGGAAUAAUAACUACAAAAGCAAUAAUAGUUCUAUGAUUUCAUGAUUAAAAUCGAAAAAAGGAAAUUAUUCAAUACUUUUCAAGUAUCAUAACGUUUGUGAUAACGAUGCAUUGAAUGAUACAUGAAUAAUUUCUAAUAAUAUAUUUCCAUCUAGGUGACAAUGGAUUUUAAUAUUUGCAGACUUUUUUAAUGUUUGAACAUUACAAUGGCAUGUAAUUACUGUAGUGUGCGCUUCCAGUUCUUUAUCAGUGACAAAUUUAAGGUCUUCUGAAUACUUCUGAGCUUUUCUGAGCACAAAAAAACUACACUCCAGUUGGACAUUUUUGCUGUAGCGGGGACGAGUGCAGGGAUCCCAUUGUCAUCGAAAAUUGCCACUCUUGACGGCUGCUGUUUCCAUGUCAGCAGCUACAGUUCUCUAAUUUCUGUGAAUGCACUUGAAAGCUUACCUUUUCCGACUUCCACUGCAUUCCAAAAUUGAACUCCCCAUUUUCAUGUUUCCACCUGGCGAUUCCUUCAUCGGAGCAGUCCCGCUGCUGAUGGUCUUUACCAACUGCUUUUUCCUUUCACAAUAACACUGGGUUCCAACCUACCGCGAGCACUGAUUCCGCUUGGUGUAGUGCGUAAGCAGCACACGAAGAAUUAUCAAACAAAUUGAACACUUAAAUCGCGGUUCGAUUCCCGAUUCAACAGAUAAAAACGCAGCGGAUGUAAACAAUGAUUCACAUAAUCAUAGGUAAACUUGACAGUGUCCGACAAAUGCCCACAGGGGUGUAUUUUUUUUCGGGUCGAUAAAGCAGGUUUGGUGAAAUAUUUCCGUUUUGUUUUUAUCAUUCGCUGUAUCAUGAAGUUGAUGAUAAAGUGAUUAUAAUGUGUAUAAUUCAGCAUAAUUUUUGUUCGAGAAAUAUGGCAUUUUUGAAUGGUAACGAUACUUAACAACCCAUUCAGUGUAUCAUUAAAACUCCCAAAAUUAUAACUUCUAUCAUCAAUAUGAUUUGUGGUAUUACCGAUUUAUAAUCCAGUUUAUGAUAACACCAAUGAUGAGAAAAUCUUACACUGUACAAUAGAUGUAUGAUACCGUUUUAUUCGGGGUGGUACAGUAAUACCCCAUACAGACAUGUGAUUCCUGUACAACGGUACACAGUGUCAAGAAAAUUCUAACAAGACUAUCUUGAACAGAGAGAAUUAUCUGUGUGGAACUCAUUUCAAGGGCAAUUGUACAGUGAUACUUGUAUCACAUGUGUGUCAUAAGUAUAACAGUAACUGAUAAAGGAGACAUACUGUGUGGAGAUUAACACAAACAGUGUUUGGUUAUGCGGGGAGUGCCAUACUGAAAAUUCUCUCAGUUCAAGUCAGUCUUGUUAGAAUUUUCAUGACACUGCGUACCGUUGUACAGGAAUCACACUCGUAUCACAUGUCUGUCUGGGGUAUAAUGUAUAAAUUUAAGUAAAAUUACGCUUUUCUUUAGGAAUUUCAUUUCAAUAUAUUAAAUCGGUGAAUUAGCAGCUAAAUUUCAACAUGAAGCGUUUCAAGCUUAAUGACAAAUUUAUUUUAUCUAAAAAUGAAUAAUAGGCUCCUAAAGUCCUGUCGGGAUUCUUGUUUCAAACCACAAUAUAUGGUUCAAGAGUACAUAUUUACUCAAUUUUUGACGUUUUUAUUAACCGUAGUUGAAAAUAUAUAAUUUUUAUUUUUUAGCCUUUUGUCUCGUCCCUAGCUUAUAACACAUACUUUGAGUGAUUUUUUUUCACCGUGUAUGUCAGAUAGGAACAUUUUCGAAAUCCCAGUGCGAAAAAUGUCGAGCUCAGUCACACAAGGUUGACCUCAAAUGUCAAAGUAGAACCGUAGAACUAUUUACCAUUUUACUUAUUUCGAAUUUUCUCAUUAUUCCUUUGUUUAGUUCGAGUAAAGUACAAUUCCGAUUAGAACACCAUGCUUGAUCGUAUUAUUCAAUAUAAGCGAGAUUUCGUCUUUAACUUUAGGACCCUAUUUUGACAAAGUUCAAUAUUUUCCCUUUCAAUGGUUCUGUUGAGAAUCCUUAGCCUGCUGGGCUCUAUGAUGAGCAUCCUGGUCCACAAAUAAUGUUCCGAUUUGGCAUGUCCAUAUCUGAGCCACCAACAGGAACCUGCCCACGGUGUCAAUCUGGUGCUCUGCAAAGGAUAUAGUGUAAUUAAAUAUGGGAUAAGGAUAAUAUUCGUGGUUACAUAAAAUGAAGGGGCCGAUUCGUUUUACUCACCACGCCAUUUUUCUGAUAUCGCUUCUCGCAGAUAUGGCAAGACAACGUAAGACUGCACUGCAUCCCUUAUGCGGAACUUCUGGAGUUGUACUAACAGUUUUAUAAAUAUUACUUAAUAAAUAUACAAACUUGAAAUUUUUUAACAAAAACGGAAAGUCAGAAACAGAAUCUAUAACUGCGGCGCUUUUAUUAUAAGUUGCCACCGUACAGGAGUCUAAAAAUUACACAUUCUCUUACUUAAAUUAAUUUAUGCAUUCUCAUUAUUAAAUAUACGCACUGAGAGUCUAUUUCUUAGAAAUCUUAAUGCAUAAAUGCGAUUUAGUUAUGAACCCACACUCCGAGGCUAACGAUACGCCUAGACGACUGCCGCCGCUAACCGCACGGCCACGAAGCCCACAAUAUGAGGCUCUGUACGAAUUUGCCCUGUCCUCGGCCCUGUCCUCGGCCCUGUCCUCGGCCCUGUCCUGCUCACCUGCUCACUACAGACACUAUAGAUUCCAGACUCGCGGAGACAUGGUUGGACAAUAUGAUUUCAGUGUGUUUUACCGUGAAUUUAGAGCGUACCGAGCGAAUAUGACGUCACGCAAUCUAUUGUCGCUAUUGAAAUCGUGACGUCAUGCUCGUUUGGCUACACGAACUGACAGUUCGUUUGGCUACAGUUGUCUUCGCCUCCGCGAGUCUAUGGAAUCUAUAGUGUCUAUACUGCUCACUCCCACAGAAAAUUUAAAAACAGCGCGCACAGUUAAAGUCACAUUUGACUCGUCAAGGGAGGGGAUGAUAAAUAAUAAAUGUGUAUAAACACAGAAAAAAAUGUUGUGUAAUAUUACAUCUGAACCGCUGCAACCCGAUCAUUACGUCGGUUGCAUGAAUAUUACACAGGACGAUGUAUACAUAAGAACAAAAGAUUUUACAUCAAAACGAUGUAUUCGUACAUAGGAAUCGUGAUUACAUCGAUUAUUUAGUACAUCGGAAUGAAUUACAUCGGGCGGGUUGCAUUUAUUUUUUGCUGUGAAUGUGCAUAAAAUAAAUGGCAAAAUCGUCAAACUCAUCGGAUUUGUAAACAAAUUUUCUCGACGACCCUAAUUUCACUUUAAAAUUUUUAAAUUUCCCAAAUAAUUUAUUUGUGUCCCCCCUCAUAAUAUCUAAUUCCGACCAAAAAUUUCCGGGAGGGGGGGGGGUGUGACAUAAGAGAAAAUCGAAAUUUGUGUCAGCCUUAUUACGUAACGCUAAAAUCGACAUUUUUCGACCCCCCUUCGUAACGCUUUUUUGUAUGAAAACCCGAAAAAAUUUGUAUGGGCCGUAACGCUCAGCCAUACUUCCCCCUCCCCCAAGAGCGUUACGUAAUUUGUUGACGGCGCCUAAUUGGCUUCUUUAGCGGUGUUGAGAUAAUUCCAUAUUCUGAAUCUGCAUGCGAAACUGAGCCGAAAUCCAAAUUUUCAUGAAUUUUGGUGCCCGGGAACCUAUUUAAAAAUCAAUUUGAAGUUUGCAUGGGAGCGAUUUGUCGAAUCACCCCUCGUCGCAUUUUGUACUGGGUGGAGCUGUCAAACAGUUACCCAGCUGUCAAAAGGUGAUUUCAAAAAAUCUCUUUGAAAUUGAUUUUAGGUACCAAAAUAAAGUUCAAAAAAUCUGAAAAAAAUCAUAGUGGCUCAGAAAAAGGUGCGCUUUCAUAUAAAAUAAAAAAAUCGAUACAUUUUUCUUAAUUUAAAAACCCAAUUGAAAGAGAAAGUGAACAAAAAGAGCCUCUCAAAUGCAGAUAGGACCUAUUGAAAUGAUUUGGCCUGAUGUAAAUUUUGAAUUUGAAAAUACUUUUUUGGGUUUGUCGUUUUUCCGUGUUGGGUAAAAUUAACGUAUAUUUCGGUACUUUUGCUUAUGCGUGUACUGUUGGUUGUUCUUUGUUUUGGUGGAUUGCCGCCAGUCUCAGACCGCCAGUAAAGUUUUUGGCAAAGAAAACGCUAAAAAGGUAAGGAAUUCUGUUAAAUUCACGAUUUAGAUUAUGAAUUAAACUAUUAUAACAUUUACAGACCCGGCCAUAAGGAACGUCGGUGCAUUACAAAUCGGGGAGGACGACAGGCGAAAAACAAACCCCGGCGAUCCCCAACCAAUGAACAGCUACGACAACACCGGAUACAACAACGAUACCCGCUCCCACAGUACUGCCGAAGGAUCGACUUCGAUCAAAAAGGGUAGCUAGAGGGUAAAUCGCGAUGACAGACUGUCAUUGUAAAACCAUUGUUCAUGAAGAAGCAACAAGUAAAUCUUCCCAGUGAAUUUGAAAAUACAUGCCGCAAAUUUAUUAAAUUGUUAAUUAUUUCAUGCGCUUUAAUGCGAUUGAUAUUACUUAGAUUUGAAUCAGUUUUUUCAAGGUGAGAGUCCUAUAGAAUUCUAUAAUAUGAAUUGUUAUUCUAAUCAAAACGGCCUUAAGGCCUUGUAUUGUAGGACGUUGUAGGACACAAAUAGCAUACGUGGACCAUUGAAUUGUACGAUCCUGUAAUCAAUAUCCUCAGAAAGGUAUUGCGCAGUGCGACGAGGAAAUGCGGAAUCUGAAAUAAAAGUGCGAUUUAGUGUCAGAUCGUUUCGGUGUCUUCACCGCACUUAUUCAUUAGCUCAUGAUGAAUAAGUGCGGUGAAGACACCGGAACGAUUUGAUGCAAUAUCGCACUUUUAUUUAAGAUUCCGCACUUCGUCGCAGUCCAGUUAGCAAUGCAAUAAACUAUAAAAUAGUUAAAUUUGUUUAACCACUAAACUUUGUAGAACACACGAAAAUUACCAAAAAUACCCAGAAAAAGAUAUAACGAAAAAACUAUUUUGAGGGGUCGUUCACAAAAAACGACACAUAUCUCUUAUAAUUAAGCAAAUAAGGUAAUAGUUUGUUCGACAAACUUUUCAACAAUACAGUUUUCUACAACUUUGCAGAAGACACCAAUACUCUAACUUCAUUUUUGAAAAAAGUGAAUUUCUGUCGCACUUUUAGGUGGAUUAAUCACAAAAGUGAAAAUCCCAAAAUAAAGAGUUCAGUAUACAGAACAAAAUCUUCUAAGAUACUAUACCGCUAAAGUCAAUACAUAGAGUUGCAAAAAAUGGGUUAUGGUUGUGUACCCCAGUAUACAGUAUGUGGCAGGUUCCUGCGGAGAUUAUGUCCGGUGGCCACAUCCGGUAGUUCCUAAACGGUCAAAAACUGUGUGGAAACAAUGUUUGGUUGCAGAGGUAUAAGUUUUAGUGAAACUAGAGUGAGUUUAAUAGCGAAUCAUAAUGGAAAACACUCUGUGUACCGCAAAACAGCCCUUUUUAUACGAAUCUGACCCAGUGACCCACCGGAAUAACUCCGGCCAUAGGGACCAUUCCGACGUUCUCUGUCCACUUUUUCAAACUAGACAUAUGUACGAGUGCACUGUCAAAAAAUUAUUCAAAUCCGUUGUGUAUUCACUGAACGGCGACAUUUUUAGUUCAUAUGCGCUGACUCAGGCCGAUACGGGUUAAACAACAACAUUCUUUGAACCUUGACAUGAGAUGACAUGACAUCUAGCAUAACGAAUAGAUACUGGUGGUAAGCAAAAAUAAUAACUUAUUUAUAUUUUGCCUUUACAUUUUUCUAGGCCAUUUAGCAAAAACUCAUUUUUUUUAAUGCAAACAUUGUACAGUCAGUCCAAGAUAAGCUAAGCUCAGUAGUACUGCAUUUCUUCGUCGGUUUUCUGCAUUCACAUAUGGAAACACCAUCUAUAAUCUCGUAGCGCAAGCCUUCUAGUUCUCAAUAUUUGUUCUAUGGCAUAUUUGUGGAACAUUUAAGCUGGUGUAUGUAAAAUUUUAUAUUUUUAUUUUUUUUAAUAGUUUUUCAACUCAGCGUGAGGUCGCCAUUCACCGCUCAUUUAACGGCAUUUUCGUAAAGUAUAUGACAUUAAAAAUCGACGUUUGCGAAUAUUGCACUUUAGUUUACGUUAACAACUCUACAAUUAUGUUGUUAUUAUAGAAAAAAUAUAAAACGAUUGUAAAAUAUGUUUACAGCCGAAAAAAUAAAAAUUCAAAUUUGUAAUCUCUUGGCUCCUAUUACCGCUCAUGCAUCCAUUCACCGCUCACUGGAUUAUUUUUUCAUGGAAUCACAGAAACUAUUCAUUUAUAAAAACAAAAUAACUUUUAUUUACCAAAGUAUUGAAGAUUCAUGACGUCCAGUUCAUCCUGUUUUGUCAAAAUAGAAUCUUUAACGGGUUUUACCUGUUGGAUAUUGUUUCCGCUGUUUGCCCUGAACAGAUCCCAUGUUGUCCUGCAGCGCAGUGUGAGAAAUAUUUUUUGAGAACGUGAUUUCAGGUACACCCAUAUAAAAACAUGGUGAAAUGAAAGUUUUUAAAUGUGGCAGCAUGUUACACUCACUUUUGUUACGAUACUUUACUAACAUUUGACCAUUUUUGUAU